GGAGAGGGAAAGGGGAGGGACAAGAUAAGGAUAGGGGAUUAAGAGGUACAAACUGCUCUGUAUAAAAUAAAUAAGCUUCAAGGAUAUAUUGUACAGCACAGGAAAUAUAGGCAAUAGUUUAUGAUAACUAAAAAUGGUAUUAGUUUACAUAUUGUGAAUCACUCAGUUGUACACCUGUAACAUAAUAAAUCAACUGUACCUCAAUAAAAGGUAUGUAUAUAUUUAUACCUUUUGAGAAACAAUUCCAAUUUUGGAGGUUUAAUUGAGUGGAACUAAUCAAGAUGUCAGUUCUUCCCAAUUUGAUCUACAGAUACAGUGCAACCCCCAUCAAAAUCCCAACAAGUUAUAUUAUGGAUGUCGACAGACUGAAUUGAAAGUUUAUAUGGAGAGGCAAAAGACCCCGAAUAGUCAGCAUAUGCCCUGAAGAACAAGGACAGAGAACUGAUGCUACCCAACUUCAAGACUCACUUAAAAACUGCAGUAAUCAAGACAUGUGGUAUUGGAACUAACCAGGAAAAGUUUGUGGACCCAGGCAACAAGUUAGAAGGAAUCUGGGUCCCUGAAUGAUAUCAUGGAGCAGAGCAGCCUACCUGCCCUGGACCAGCUGUUCACCUCCUGAGUGUUAUGUGUGAGAGAGGCCACCUUGGCAGAUGCCUCAGCUCUCCACCGUGCGCCUGUACUCUGCGGUCCCAUCGGCUAUGACAGCGUCCAGGGGAGAACGCUUCUUGCGGAUGCUGCGCCCGGAGGAGAUGAGGUCCGCGUAGCCCCGCUGGUGGGAGAAAGCGUAGGCUGAGCGCCGCGUGGACACGCCCCGGCGGAACACUUGCCGCCGCUUCCACUGCUCUUCGGCUUUUAACCGCUUGCGAUGCUUCUGGAUCUACCCAAGGGGAAGAGACCGGCAAGAUUAAAAAGAACUGGCGGACUGAAUGGAAAUGAAGGAAACGUAUGGCAACAACGGGCAGCAAGCACACAGCAACGGUCAAGAUGAUGGUCAACCAAAUGUAUGGCUGCCUCAGAGCAUUGGAAGCUGUGCCUGGAAAGAACACAGAGACUGAAUCACAGUGGUCCUUUCGUCCCAUGGGCAUGGUUAAAAUUCCAUAAUCCACACAUUCCCUUCUCUAUGAAAAUACCAACCUGUAAAUUGAAAUGCAGACGGAAAGAGAACAUGUAUUCCAGCACUAUGAAAGUCAAACAUGAUGCCAAAAUAAAGUGCAAUGCUUCCAAAAAUUGAAAAAGCAUUCACAAAAG